rnacentral:rRNA from 1 species
GACGAACGCUGGCGGCGUGCUUAACACAUGCAAGUCGAACGAAAAGAGGGAAAGAGCUUGCUCUUUCCGGAAUUGAGUGGCAAACGGGUGAGUAACACGUAAACAACCUGCCUUCAGGAUGGGGACAACAGACGGAAACGACUGCUAAUACCGAAUAAGUUCCAAGGGCCGCAUGGCCCAUGGAAGAAAAGGUGGCCUCUACCUGUAAGCUAUCGCCUGAAGAGGGGUUUGCGUCUGAUUAGCUGGUUGGAGGGGUAACGGCCCACCAAGGCGACGAUCAGUAGCCGGGCUGAGAGGAUGAACGGCCACACUGGAAUUGAGACACGGUCCAGACUCCUACGGGAGGCAGCAGUGGGGAAUCUUCCGCAAUGGGCGAAAGCCUGACGGAGCAACGCCGCGUGAGUGAUGACGGCCUUCGGGUUGUAAAACUCUGUGAUCCGGGACGAAAAGGCAGAGUGCGAAGAACAAACUGCAUUGACGGUACCGGAAAAGCAAGCCACGGCUAACUACGUG